UUAACAUUAUAAUUUGUUUAUGGGAAAUUGCCCUAUUUUUCUUCAUUUCAGAGAUUAACUCUGACUUUCAAAUCUUAAGGAAAAAAGUACCUAAAAGAGGUUUUUUUCCCCUUUUUUUAAACAAACCGUCUUCUUUGUGUCAAAUUUUUUCCGCUCGAUAUUGGUGCAAGAUAUGGUCGACGUACUCUUUGCUAGAUCCCUCAUACUCUGACUCACGCUCCUUUGGUUGGUGUAUUGAUAUAGGGAACGGAUUUACUACUAUUAUACCGACCUUUUACUUUGCAUUAAGUAAACAUUCUUAGAUUUUUUUCCUACCCUCUACGUCUCGAAACCUUCAAAUGUAUCCUUUAACAGGAAUGACUUUUCACCACAGUACUUUGACGUUAACGAAAAUUAACGGUAUCGUAGGCUUAAUAACUUUUUAUCAAAUGCUCUAUGGAGCCAUUCUUUACUUUGUACAGUAUAUGUAUAACAGGCAUUGGAAGCAACGAGACAAUACCUUUAUACAGAUUUUUUUCUUCGUGGUGCUACCCAAUUUAUUUUGGAUAAUAUU